CCACGCCGUAAACGAUGAGCACUAGGUGUCGGGGGUUACCCCCCUCGGUGCCGCAGCUAACGCAUUAAGUGCUCCGCCUGGGGAGUACGUACGCAAGUAUGAAACUCAAAGGAAUUGACGGGGACCCGCACAAGUAGCGGAGCAUGUGGUUUAAUUCGAAGCAACGCGAAGAACCUUACCAGGACUUGACAUACUAGUGCCAGGUAUAGAGAUAUACCCUUAUCUUAGAUACACUAAUACAGGUGGUGCAUGGUUGU
rnacentral:rRNA from 1 species